GACUAUGGCUUUAUGGGUUGCCUGUAUGGUUGUGGUGAUGUGUAAUGUAUGCUGACUGUAUAAUAUUGUUUUGCCUGCAUUGGCUAUCUGCCGAAAGCAGAUAGCUGGAUUUCCUUUCGUUUCACGGUCAGCGCCUUUACGGGCUGUUCGUGAACCGAAUAGACCAACAUGUAAUAGCCCACACAUUGAGAGACGUGUGGCGCUUGUUAACCGAUUGCAAUAAUGUUGCAAUCGGUAAUUAGAGGCUCUCCUAGGUGGCCAUCUUGGUGGCGGUCGGCCAUCUUGGAUCCUUUUG